rnacentral:sRNA from 1 species
AACUCAUUGUGUAUUUUGAUCUAAAGUGAGUAAAAUGAGGACAAUAUAGUUGGAUCAUUUUUAAAAAAUCCAUUCUGUCAAUCUCUUUCUUUGGAUUGGAGAGUUUAAUUCAUUUGUAUUUAAUGUAAUUACUGAUAAAGAGGGGCUUACUCCUACCAUUUUGCUUUU